rnacentral:rRNA from 1 species
AGAGUUUGAUCCUGGCUCAGGACGAACGCUGGCGGCGUGCCUAACACAUGCAAGUCGAGCGGGGACAAGGACUUCGGUUCUUGUUCUAGCGGCGGACGGGUGAGUAACGCGUGAGCAAUCUGUCCCUCACAGGGGGAUAACACUUGGAAACAGGUGCUAAUACCGCAUAAGACCACGGAGUCGCAUGACUUUGAGGUCAAAGGAGAAAUCCGGUGAGGGGUGAGCUCGCGUCCCAUUAGAUAGUUGGCGGGGUAACGGCCCACCAAGUCAGCGAUGGGUAGCCGACCUGAGAGGGUGAUCGGCCACACUGGGACUGAGACACGGCCCAGACUCCUACGGGAGGCAGCAGUGGGGAAUAUUGGGCAAUGGGCGAAAGCCUGACCCAGCAACGCCGCGUGAGGGAGGAAGGUUUUCGGAUUGUAAACCUCUGUCCUUGGGGAAGAAGGAAGUGACGGUACCCAAGGAGGAAGCCCCGGCUAACUACGUGCCAGCAGCCGCGGUAAUACGUAGGGGGCGAGCGUUGUCCGGAAUGACUGGGCGUAAAGGGCGUGUAGGCGGCCGACUAAGUCUGAUGUGAAAUACCCGCUUUUAAGGUGGGUCGUGCAUUGGAAACUGGAUGGCUAGAGUGCGGAAGAGGUAAGUGGAAUUCCCAGUGUAGCGGUGAAAUGCGUAGAGAUUGGGAGGAACGCCAGUGGCGAAGGCGACUUACUGGGCCGCAACUGACGCUGAGGCGCGAAAGCGUGGGGAGCAAACAGGAUUAGAUACCCUGGUAGUCCACGCUGUAAACGAUGAAUGCUAGGUGUAGGGGGUAUCGACCCCUCCUGUGCCGCAGUUAACACAAUAAGUAAUCCACCUGGGGAGUACGACCGCAAGGUUGAAACUCAAAGGAAUUGACGGGGGCCCGCACAAGCAGUGGAGUAUGUGGUUUAAUUCGACGCAACGCGAAGAACCUUACCAAGUCUUGACAUCCUGCGACGCACAUAGAAAUAUGUGUUUCCUUCGGGACGCAGAGACAGGUGGUGCAUGGUUGUCGUCAGCUCGUGUCGUGAGAUGUUGGGUUAAGUCCCACAACGAGCGCAACCCUUAUGGUCAGUUACUACGCAAGAGGACUCUGGCCAGACUGCCGUUGACAAAACGGAGGAAGGUGGGGAUGACGUCAAAUCAUCAUGCCCUAUAUGACUUGGGCUACACACGUACUACAAUGGCGUUAAACAAAGAGAAGCAAGACCGCGAGGUGGAGCAAAACUCAGAAACAACGUCCCAGUUCGGACUGCAGGCUGCAACUCGCCUGCACGAAGUCGGAAUUGCUAGUAAUCGCAGAUCAGCAUGCUGCGGUGAAUACGUUCCCGGGCCUCCAACACACCGCCCGUCACACCAUGAGAGCCGGGGGGACCCGAAGUCGGUAGUCUAACCG